UGGCUCAGGAUAAACGCUGACAGAAUGCUUAACACAUGCAAGUCGAUGAGCUAAGUAAGCUUGCUUACAAGGCACAUGGCGGACGGGUGAGUAACGCGUAAAGAACUUACCCACUAGACUGGGAUAACAGAGAGAAAUUUCUGAUAAAACCGGAUAAGUUAGUAGUAGGCAUCUACUGCAAAUGAAAAAGAGAUUACUAGUGGAGAGCUUUGCGUCCUAUUAGCUAGUUGGUGGGGUAAAGGCCUACCAAGGCGAUGAUAGGUAGCCGGCCUGAGAGGGUGAACGGCCACAAGGGGACUGAGAUACGGCCCUUACUCCUACGGGAGGCAGCAGUGGGGAAUAUUGGACAAUGGAGGUAACUCUGAUCCAGCAAUUCUGUGUGUGCGAUGACGGUCUUCGGAUUGUAAAGCACUUUUAGUUGGGAAGAAAAAAAUGACGGUACCAACAGAAGAAGCGACGGCUAAAUACGUGCCAGCAGCCGCGGUAAUACGUAUGUCGCUAGCGUUAUCCGGAAUUAUUGGGCUUAAAGGGCAUCUAGGCGGCAAAACAAGUUGAAGGUGAAAAGCUGUGGCUCAACCAUAGUCUUGCCUACAAAACUGUAAUGCUAGAGUACUGGAAAGGUGGGUGGAACUACACGAGUAGAGGUGAAAUUCGUAGAUAUGUGUAGGAAUGCCGAUGAUGAAGAUAACUCACUGGACAGAAACUGACGCUGAAGUGCGAAAGCUAGGGGAGCAAACAGGAUUAGAUACCCUGGUAGUCCUAGCUGUAAACGAUGAUCACUGGGUGUGGGGAGUCAAAUCUCUGUGCCGAAGCAAAAGCGAUAAGUGAUCCGCCUGGGGAGUACGUUCGCAAGAAUGAAACUCAAAGGAAUUGACGGGGGCCCGCACAAGUGGUGGAGCAUGUGGUUUAAUUCGACGCUACGCGAGGAACCUUACCAGAUCUUGACAUCUACGGAAGACAAAGGAGACUUUGUUGUGCCUUAUAGGAACCGUAAGACAGGUGGUGCAUGGCUGUCGACAGCUCGUGUUGUGAGAUGUUGGGUUAAGUCCCGCAACGAGCGAAACCCCUAUCAUUAGUUGCCAUCAUUAAGUUGGGGACUCUAAUGAAACUGCUAGCGAAGAGCUAGAGGAAGGUGGGGAUGACGUCAAGUCAUCAUGCCCCUUAUGAUCUGGGCUACACACGUGCUACAAUGGGUAGUACAAUGAGAAGCAAGAUGGCGACAUUAAGCAAAACUCAAAAGCUACUCUUAGUUCGGAUUGGAGUCUGCAACUCGACUCCAUGAAGUUGGAAUCACUAGUAAUCGUGAAUCAGCAAUAUCACGGUGAAUACGUUCUCGGGCCUUGUACACACCGCCCGUCACACCACGAGAGUUGUUUGCACCUGAAGUUACUGGCCUAACUGUAAAGAGGGAAGUACCUAAGGUGUGAAUAGUGAUUGGGGUGAAGUCGUAACAAGGUAUCCGUACCGGAAGGUGCGGAUGGAUCACCUCCUUUCUAAGGAGAAAUGAAAAGACUUCUUAUCUUGUUUGCAAAUUAUCUUUAAAUUAAAAAAAUAGGACAAUGAGAAAUGAAUAGUAGGUAAAAUAUUACAACUUUAACAAAAGAGAUAGAUAGAGUUAAAAAGAGAAAGAGAAAGCUAAAUAAGGGCGUACGGAGGAUGCCUAGCUAGUAAAAGCCGAAGAAGGACGUGAUAAGCUGCGAAAAGCUUAGGGGAGUCGCAUAUAGACAUAGAUCCUAAGAUAUCCGAAUGGGAGAACCUGUAUAUUAGAAGAAUAUACACGAAAGAGGUAAGCCUGUGAACUGAAACAUCUAAGUAACAGGAGGAAAAGAAAGUAAAAACGAUUUUCUAAGUAGCGGCGAGCGAACGGGAAAGAGCCUAAACCAUAGUAGUGCCAAGAGGGUAUCGUUGCUAUUAUGGGGUAGAGGGUAUAUAUUAGUCAAUUACCAUAAGACAGUAUGAGUAUACUACGAAGCAGAACAUAACUGGAAAGUUAGACCAAAGAAGGUGAUAGUCCUGUAGGGCGUAAAUAGUAUAUGAGUAUAUAUAUAACCCGAGUAGCAUCAAGCACGAGGAAUUUGGUGUGAAUCAGUGUGGACCAUAUCACAUAAGGCUAAAUACUUUUACUAAGCGAUAGUGGAGAGUACCGUGAGGGAAAGGUGAAAAGAACCCUGAGUAAGGGAGUGAAAUAGAAUUUGAAACCGUACGCUUACAAGCGGUAGGAGCCCUAAGGGGUGACUGCGUGGAUUUUGGUUAAUCAUCCUGCGAGUUAUGAUAUAUGGCGAGGUUAAGUAAAGCGGAGCCGAAGGGAAACCGAGUCUUAAAAGGGCGAUAGUCGUAUGUUAUAGACGCGAAACCUAGUGAUCUAUGCCUGACCAAGUUGAAGCAAAGGUAAGACUUUGUGGAGGACUGAACUCACCGCCGUUGAAAUGAUGGGAGAUGAGUUAGGUAUAGGGGUGAAAAGCCAAUCGAACUAGGAGAUAGCUCGUUCUCUCCGAAAUGCAUUUAGGUGCAGCCUUAAUAGAAGAUAUGUGGGGGUAGAGCACUGUUUGACCUAGCGGGCGUAUAGCUUAGUGAAGUCAUGCAAACUACGAAUACCAUAUAUUAAUAAUUAGGAGUGAGACUAUGGAUGAUAAGGUCCAUGGUCGAGAGGGGAAAAGCCCAGACCAACAGCUAAGGUCCCAAAUUAUGUCUAAGUGGGAAAGGAGGUGGAUAUUCAGAAACAACCAGGAGGUUGGCUUAGAAGCAGCCAUACCUUGAAAGAGUGCGUAACAGCUCACUGGUCGAGAGUAUCUGCGCCGAAGAUUUAACGGGGCUAAGACAUAAACCGAAGCUUUGGAACAUAUGUAAAUAUGUUGGUAGGAGAGCGUUCUGUAAGCUGUAGAAGGAGAGUUGAAAGACGAUCUGGAGGUAUCAGAAGUGAGAAUGCAGGAAUGAGUAGCGAGAAAGUAUGUGAGAAUCAUACUGGCCGGAAGUCCAAGGAUUCCACGGCAAUGUUUGUCAGCCGUGGGGGAGUCGGGACCUAAGUGAAGACAGGGAUGUCAUAGCGAAUGGAAAAUAGGUUAAUAUUCCUAUACCACUAAAUCAACGAUUGAAGGGAUGGAGUGACGCAGGAAGGUAUGUGAGAUAACUGACGGAAUAGUUAUUCUAAGCCAAUAGCGUGAUUAUAUAGGCAAAUCCGUAUAAUUAAACGUGAAAGGUGAUGGGUAAGCACAAUAAGUGUAAGUCACAGAUCCUACACUGCCGAGAAAAACUUCUACUGAGGAGAUUAAGUGCCCGUACCGUAAACCGACACAGGUGGACAGGGUGAGAAACCUAAGGCCGACAGGAUAACUCUAGCUAAGGAACUCUGCAAAAUAGCCCCGUAACUUCGGGAGAAGGGGUGCCUAUGGUAAGUGAGAAGAUAAGUACUUCGAAGCUGAGAUAGGCCGCAGUGAAGAGUCCCAAGCAACUGUUUACCAAAAACACAGGUCUAUGCUAAGCCGGAAGGCGACGUAUAUGGGCUGACACCUGCCCAGUGCCGGAAGGUUAAGAGGAGGAUUGAGAGAUUCGAAUUGAAGCCCCGGUGAACGGCGGCCGUAACUAUAACGG
rnacentral:rRNA from 1 species